CUCAGUGGAAGAGAGAGUUGACACUACCAACCAGCCCCCACCUCUCCAGCUUCCCACCUCUCCGCCUCUCAGCCAUUGUUAAAAAAGGAGCACCUUGGAGGCCUUGUGGCUUUCUCCCCAGAGGGCUCUACGGUUUCUCACCAAAACAAAGGAAACAAGGAAGGAUAGUUUCUCUUGUUUCCAGGAUUUCUUCCUUCUUUUUCAUCCAGCAGAAAGGUAUGUGCACUUUCUCUCUGCUACUGGCCACGGGGCUUGCCGAGCAACUGUCCUUAGGAAGGGGUGGUGGGGGCGGGGGUUAGGGGAUGGG
rnacentral:lncRNA from 1 species